CCGUUGAAUGAUCCAUUGACAUUUCUCUCUUUACAACAUUUCAGUUUCGUUUAUUGUAGUAUCAUUAAGUUUCCUGCCUGUCCAGACCGCUGUGCUUCAUGCGCAAUACAUUGAGAAUUUCAGUACAGUACAUAGGAAAUGACUCAUAGGAGUUCAACUGUUAGCGUGGGUGUGUACUCUAUUAAAACAAGGCUCAGACUACUCCCCAACACGGUGUGUUCAUCAGAUGAACUUUCGGGAAUUGCGUUUAUACAAGAACGAUGGCUUCAUACAUUCUCUGUGCGCUUUGUGGACUGAUCAUUGCGACAAUUGUGAAACUAAACGGAGUGAAUGGGCAAAGCCUAUGCACCAGUAAAGAGUUCUGGAGUUCAGACAUAGACCAAUGCGUAUCCUGCUCAACAUGCAAGCAGUAUCCAAAGACCCCUUCAUGUAACACUUGCACAUUUACAGAGGAGAGAUCUGAUGUCUGGAGACUUGCAGCUAUUUCCAGUUUCUCUGUGCUGGCAGUUGUUCUGCUCAUUGCAGUAUUGAUCAUUGGGGUCAUGGUGCAUCGAUGCACAGCAAACAAUAGGCCCCUUCGUGGUAGGGCUCACGGCUACCAUCUCCUGAUAAACUAACAUUAACCUAUUGAAGAGACAACGGGACCUCUUUACCAAGCUUAAACAUUUCAGUAGCUUCAUCUUCCUCCUGACAUCGAUGUGACAGAACCAAGGGAACACCUUUUGAGGACCAAUCGUCAGAAGAAUUUCUGUACAAUGGACUGACAAUGACCCACAACACACCUCCAGGCUGUGUAUGUGCUAUUUUACCAAGAAGGAGAGUGAUGGAGUGCUGCAUCAGAUGACCUGGCCUCCACAAUCCCCCGACCUCAACCAAAUUGAGAUGGUUUGGGAUGAGUCGGACCGCAGAGUAAAGUAAAACCAGCCAACAAGGGCUCAGUAUAUUUGGGAACUCCUUCAAGACUAUUGGAAAAGCAUUCCAGAUGAAGUUGGUUGAGAGAAUGCCAAGAGUGUGCAAUGAUGUCAAGGCAAAGGGUGGCUACUUUGAAGAAUCUCAAAUAUAAAAUAUAUUUUGAUUUAACACUUUUUUUGGUUAUUACAUGAUUCCAUGUGUUAUUUCAUAGUUUUGAUGUCUUCACUAUUAUUCUACAAUGUAGAAAAUAGUAAAAAUAAAGGAAAACCCUGGAAUGAGUAGGUGUUCUAAAACUUUUGACCGGUAGUGUAUUUUGGUUGAAUGCAUUGUUGUGCAACUUACUCAGUAUUCCCUUUCCUCAGUUGAAACAAUGGAGAUGAGUCAAUGCUUGUGACAAUGUUUGUAACACUAUUAGUCACCAAAUGUUAACCCAGGAAGGAACAUUAUGGUUUAGCGAAAAAACUAACUGAACCCUAUUGACAAGUAUAACCAUAGUUUGAAGCUGAGUACACAGUUAUACUAAGUCAGAACACAAUUUUAAGGGUUGUGUGUCAGGAGAAUGUGGAUGGCUGAAUAAUUACCUAUUUCAUGUUACUGACAAUUACUUCGUUAUCAAUAUUAAGUGGAUAUGGAUAAAAGCAGCAAGAAAAGGACAAUGUGUAUACAGAAUUAUUUAUUUUGAAUUAUAUUUUUGAAUGUUUAUAGUUUGUGGUAACAGUUAAAUGUCUGGAUAAAUACUGUCAAAGGGACCCCUGCAAAGUUGUUUAUAAAACCAGUGACACCAGCUGACCAACUUUUUGUUACUGAGCAAUAACUAACAAGUUGUUAGUUAAUUUUUUUGUUUGUUUGUUUGGUUUAUGUACAUGGGUUAGUGUAGUAAUAAGCAAUGUUACAUGUGAACUCUGGCUGACUUUUGUGUAUUAUGUUAAGAAUAAAAUGAGCUGAUUUCUAGAUA